rnacentral:rRNA from 1 species
UACGUAGGGUCCGAGCGUUGUCCGGAGUGACUGGGCGUAAAGCGCGCGCAGGCGGCCCUUUAGGCACGACGUGAAAGCCCCGGGCUCAACCCGGGAGGGUCGUCGUGAACCGGGGGGCUUGAGGCCGGUAGAGGUGGGUGGAACGUCCUGGUGGAGUGGUGAAAUGCGUAGAGAUCAGGAAGAACACCGAUGGCGAAGGCAGGUCUCUGGGCUGACACUGACGCUCAUGCACGAAAGCGUGGGGAGCAAACAGGG